UGAUAAAGGAAAUUAAAUUUCGUUUGUAAAUUUACAGUUUACCGCCUAAGCUCGGCCACUUUAUC
rnacentral:tRNA from 1 species